rnacentral:lncRNA from 1 species
GUGGUUAAAUUAAGAUAUUCACUUGCACAAAUCUACUACACACCACCAUUCAUUAAAAUUGCUAAUAUAUAUAUAUAUAUUAUCACUCACUGUCCCAAAUAUUGUUAUUCUCUCUCUCUAAAAGAUUCAAUGCAGAAGAGGCAUGGGUUAUGCAAAAAUAUGUGAGGAAAUAAAAAGGGGCAAGUGCCCGGAACCUCAGAAAAGAAAGAAAAAGAGUGAGAUGAGAGGUAAAAAUGGACAAGUGUCCGGAGUAGAAUUAGGGGUACAAAGAUACCCACUUGAGCGAAAAAAUGGACAAGUGUCCGACAGUAGAAUUAGGGGUAUCUACUACCCACCUGAAAAAAAGAAGAAAAAGAUAGCCCAUGUUCUCCCAAAGCAAAGAUCAAAAAGAAGAGGAGAGAUAGCAAUAUGAGGAGCAAUGAGAAGUAAGUUUUAUUAUCACUUAUACAUUUUUACCAUCACUAUCAUUUACUCCACCACACAUGCACAUCUUGAUUUAAUUAUAUGCUG